rnacentral:misc_RNA from 1 species
CACAAACAAAGCAUACCCUUUUGAUUUCCCAGUUGAUGGAUCAAAUCCCAUUGGACCAGCUUCAAUUUCCCCAAACUUAGCAAAAAAGCUCCUCAAUUUCUCCGAAUUAACUUUCUUUGGCACGUUACUCACAUAUAUCUUCCGGUUACCGAUUUCAUUAGUCCCAGAAACCGCAGUCUCUUUCAUUGAAGCCAACUUACACGAAGCUAAACGAUUGUUGAUCAUCUUCUGAGGCUCUUUCAGCGCUUUUGCAGCUGAUUUCCUAGUCUUAAACAGAACAAAGGCAUACCCUUUAGCAUUUCCAGUAGCAUGAUCCAUCACAAGGUUGCAUUCCUCAAUCUCCCCGUACGGUUCAAAGACGGCCAGCAGCACCGGGCGCGUGGUAUCACGCGGCAACCCAUAAACGAAGAUUUUCCUGUGGCUGAUGUCUUUAUCAGCAUGUGACUGGAUAAGCCUGUAAAAAGCAGGGAGAACAACUGCGGUAUCCACAGCUAGGGUAACCAGUUGAUCCUUUGAGUAAGGUUCGAGAAGCUUCUGGAUUUUCAGCGGUAACGAUUCGGCGUCGGAACCGGAAUUGGAAUUGGGUGGGUUAGAAGAAUCUGAUUUGGGUGUUUUUGGCUGCUGAUUUUUGUUGAUUUUAGAGGGCGUAGCAAUGGAAUCUGCUGCCUGCUUGCCAAGCUUUCGCUUUUUCACCUCAUUGUUAGCAGCCAUGGGAGCUUGAAGGUAAGGAUUUUUUGCUUAAACACGAAGGGAAGAGAGGGCUGCAGG